AUUGAACGCUGGCGGCAGGCUUAACACAUGCAAGUCGAGCGGGGGAAGGUAGCUUGCUACCGGACCUAGCGGCGGACGGGUGAGUAAUGCUUAGGAAUCUGCCUAUUAGUGGGGGACAACAUCUCGAAAGGGAUGCUAAUACCGCAUACGUCCUACGGGAGAAAGCAGGGGAUCUUCGGACCUUGCGCUAAUAGAUGAGCCUAAGUCAUAUUAGCUAGUUGGUGAGGUAAAGGCCUACCAAGGCGACGAUCUGUAGCGGGUCUGAGAGGAUGAUCCGCCACACUGGGACUGAGACACGGCCCAGACUCCUACGGGAGGCAGCAGUGGGGAAUAUUGGACAAUGGGGGGAACCCUGAUCCAGCCAUGCCGCGUGUGCGAAGAAGGCCUUAUGGUUGUAAAGCACUUUAAGCGAGGAGGAGGCUACUUUAGUUAAUACCUAGAGAUAGUGGACGUUACUCGCAGAAUAAGCACCGGCUAACUCUGUGCCAGCCGCCGCGGUAA
rnacentral:rRNA from 1 species